AAAUAAGCCCCAAACAUUUUUGUUGCAUGUCAAUAUUGAUUAGCAUAAAUCUUGUUUCACAUCAUUAAGAAUCUGUAUGAUUUGUUUGGUUUUUUUUCAGUUAUAUGUAGUGUGGGCACUAUUGAAUAUUGAAAACUGAAAAGAAUAAACCCUAAUCUUCUUUGUUUGAUGUGAUUCCUGGUUCACAUCAAAUGUUGUUAUGCAUCAUGUAGUUUAGGAUAAACAAGAGGAAUUGAAGCCUUUGUGUGUGGCCAUUUCUGGAUAUGAUGUUACUUUGUUGUGAGAGUUUACAUCCGCAAGACUGGGGAUCAUCAUUAAAGUAUAUCGCUCUAAGUUUGGAUGCUAUGGAAUUUUUGUCUCCGAGUGAUUGCACCACUUGUUGCUUCUGUAAAGGAGAAAGUCUAGCAAGAACGGUAGCUCUUUGGAUGGUCUCAUGGAGCUCAUAGUUGUCAAGAAGUUCAAGUUCUGG